CGACCUCCUCCGGGUCGUACGAGCAAGGACGCCCGCGCCUGCAGUGUUCUUGCCGCGUGCCUGCGGCGAGAUUCACCUCUAAUAAGGAAGCAAGCAGAGGCAGGAGUUUCUUCAAGUGUAGAUCAGAUUCGUGUUACACUUGGAUCUGGGAGGAACGGCUCAUGGACUUUGUCAAUGCUUUUAUAAGGAUGAGCACAGCCGCCUUGCAGGGGGAGAUGCGAGUUUCCAGGACCGAAUCGAAGUGGAGGAUCCAACUGCUGGAGCACAAGUUGGAAGUCGCCCGGCGUGAGUUGGCCGACGCCAUUGGUGAGAGGGAUGGUUUGAAUGCAGUUGCUGCUAGAUUAGCUAGUCAAAUUAAGUCAAGAGACCGGAGCAUUGCUAGAUAUAGAUUUGCGUUUUUUAUAUUCAUGCUCUGCAUGAUUUUUAGAUGGGUUUUUUAGCUGCAGCGGUGCAUUUUCAGAUUCUUUCAUCUCUAUAUGAUCAUCAUAGAGCGUGGGCUGAUGCGUUGUCAAGGUGCAUAGAGGGAGAUUUGAUGUUCCGGGGUGUGUGUGGUUUUGAGUAGUGCUUAAGGAGUUGAUCAGUUGAACAAGAGCGUGCAAGUAUUUAACCAUGAGGUCCCAAUAAUUUUUUUUGUUGUAAAUGGUGCCAUCCAAGAUCAGAACGGUGGCAGUCCAUCAUAUGUUCUAGACGCAACAACCCCGCGCCGGCAUAGUCGGAUGAACUCGUUGUUUCCGUCAGUUAUGUGGAUAGUGUUUUUUUGGGCUAAAGCCUUUUUUUGUAUGGAGUAACAGACCUGUGCUUAACACUCUAGCUUUAGAACUUAAGUUAUCUACAGAUUUAUGGUACUCCUUAUGUUUUGUAUAACGAGUGCUCACCAUGUAGUCAACAGUAGAGUGGUGCUUCAGUGCUUUUGAUUGCUGUAUUUGUUGUUUCAAGCCCCUAGCUGAAGUUCAGUUCUGGUGACGAAGUGAGUAAAUGAAUUGCUGAUAUUUGGAUUCAUCCACGCAUUGAUUGGUUGCUUCUUCUUGCAAUAUUAUGUGGCACUAACAAAAGCACUGCAUUCUAUUUAUAUAGAAUAUGAAGUUAUUAGCUCCAAUCCAUGCAUGAAUGUACAACACAACUGUACAACUGCAUGGAACGAUAGUCUGGAAGGACAAUAAUCUUCUAGGCAGUGGUGGUCCUGAUAGACAUUAGUUAGCUGCACUUUGCUUCCAUUCAAGCAGAAGUGAUUGAAACACUAGAUAUGUAAUGCAUUAACUGAACUUCUAUGCAUUAGUUUUGUUUGGUCGGAUGGUUUUCUUUUGUAUUGCCAGAUGGAAUACCGUGUACUGCUACCAUUGGUUAUGUAGGUCAUGUAUGCUAAUCUAUAUACGAAAAUUGAUCAUUGUUAGGUUCAAAAUGGCAGGAUACUUCUUUUUGUUUCACAAAUAUAGGUAGUAUAUUGAAUCGUGCAAAUGUCUGAUUUUUUUCGAGACCAUAAGAAUGGUGUUGCCUUCUUAACAUACUAGAAUACUCAGAAAUUCUUGCAAGGUCUUGUUGAAAUAACGCCUUCAUACACUUAUUUGCAGUUUUCUUCAUUCUGGUUUUCGCAAUUCAGUAAUGAGCAUCUUAUAGCCUGUUGCCUUGGAUUUAUUUAGUUUAUCAAUUGGGUGCUUAGCAAAUUUCUCUGAGGUACUGAAUCAUUAGUGUUCAGUAGAUAUUAGAUACAUAGCAUCUGUUGGGCAAUGGCCGGGCCAGGGCUGCAACCUGUGUUUAAACUUUCCAUUGUUUUCUUCUUUGCUUAUGCAUUGCUCUUAUCCGUGGCCCUUCCUAUAAAGUACACACGAUGGCCUCCUUCUAGGUAAAUUAUUUUAUCAUCCAUGGUACGCGGACCUACUUCUAGUCGUUGGAUGUGGCCUUGAUUCUAGUUUCCUGCAUUUUCUGGCAAGUUCUGAAUCAUUGGUUUUUUUAGUACUGAAUCAUUGGCUUAAUUAACUCCGGGUGCUUAAUGGGUUAAGGUGCGGUGCCGAUUACUUAGUUUGACCUUGGACUUGCGAACACCGGGCAUGCCGUUUUGUAAAUAUCUUGAUUCUUUUAGUUACCAGUUUGCUUUAAGAUUCAGUGCUUAUAUCUUAUUUUUCUUUAAGAGAUUGCCUUCUCUUUGUGUUUUUCUUCAAUUGUUUUUCUUAACCAUGCUCAACCUAGUGCCUAACGAGGCCUGGUGCAUUGAGGCUUGCGACUCUCGAUCUUCCUCUUAAUGUCCAUGGUGAGUGCUUAAUGAGGCAUGGUGUGGCGCUGAAUGGAAUCAAGUCCUGGACUGUCGAUCUUCUCUUUUUAGGUACUUAGCAGAUUGAACAGGGGUACUGGAUGCACUAAAGAGUUGACUCCUGACUUGUACACCUCACUAUGGUGACUUGUACACCUCAUAUGGGUGCUUAACAAGCUUCUUUGAGAUGCUGAAUCGUGUGGUGCUUACCAAGUUGCUCCCAGGUGCUGAAUCGCAUGGGUUCUUAACAAGAUUCUGGGGGGUGCUGAAUCAAUCAUGAUUGGCUGUGCAGUGUUGUUCCUGAGAUGUGGGUAAUUAGCUUAAAGACUAACUGUAUAUAUUGAAUAAUUUUCUCUGAAGUGCUGAAUCAUAUGGGGUGCUUAACAAGAUUCUCCGAGGUGCUGAAUCAUAUGGGUGCUUACCAAGUUUCUCUGAGGUGCUGAAUCAUUUGGUGUCAACUGUGGCAGGUACUGAAUCAUUUCUUAAUUAAUGCCAAUGAAGCUAACUGCUUAACGAUGCCUGGUGAGGUGUUGAAUGUCCUUGUACAUUCUUGGGUGCUUGACAAGUUAUUUCCAAGUGCUGAAUGGAUGGGGUAACAAAUUUCUUUGAGGUAUCGAAUCAUAUGACAUGCUUAAGAAGUUGGUUUUAGUACUAAAUGGUGGCUACUCGUUAAUUUGCUAGUACUAAAUGGAAUGCUUUACUAGGUGCUUAACAAGAUGCUCUGAGGUGCUGAAUCAUAUUUCUUCUAGUACUUAAUGACCUGUACAAGAUGCUCUGAGGUGCUGAAUCAUUGAUCUUCUAGUACUUAAUGACAUGUACAAGACAAAUGGAAUAUAACCAUUUCAACUA